rnacentral:misc_RNA from 1 species
UAUUAACUGUUAUGCAAGUAGAUAAGCCGACAUGUGCGUGCUUCAGUUGAUGUCUCUAGUUUAUCCUGCACAAACAGAAUGUGUUGCUUUUGAAUAUUAUUUCCACUUAAUCUUUGACUCUGCCCUUUGAAAUGGUAAGGAGUGUAUUUUCCGCUAUAUGACAACGAUUCCUCUCGUUUAUCGAAGUGUUUCAUGUCAAUGGGGGCAAAUUCGCGGAAACGGGCCGUAAAAGCGAUUUGUGCCUCUCACCGCUUCUAACGGAGGAAACCAAAAAAUGGCCCUUGACCAGGUAAACCUCGCGCAACGAUUUACACUAAUGGCAACAAACUGCUACCAAUUUGCUUUAAAAAGAGCAAAUAAUAAAAUCGACGGCGCAUAUCGCCCUUAAAGAUACACUUUUUUUCCAAACAAAAAUUCCCGCACACCAGCAAAAUCUAAAUUUGUUUUUGUAUUGUACAAACACGUCUCAGCUUACUUGAUGCUAUUGCUGGUUUCACUAAGGGCACCGCAGUGUAAUCGUAAUAAUUGUGGGGUAAAUACGAUAGCAUAUUGCUGUCAAAACUCAGAAGAUUAAUGAUUUCACUAGAAUGCCCUUAUAGAACCCUGGCACGUCCAGAAUUUUGAGUGACAAGGACAUUCCGAUGCGUUCAAGCAACGCGCGGCCCGUCCCAAGAUAUCGUACCCCAUCGUUGAACAAUCUUGUGUUUUCAACGCGAAGAGGCUGUUGCAACGUCCGUUAUGGUGUUGUGGGGAGAAAGGGAUAGGAACAGGACCAGGUAGUGCUUUUCGUAAUCGUGUCAGCUCGCACACCAGCAAGUGAUAAUAUCUCUGGAGUUGUAGCGCCCGAGGUACAGGUGUGGUUCAAGAACCGAAGGGCGAAAUGGAGAAAACAAAAGAGGGAAAAUCAAGAAUAUAAGAAGCAGACUCAAGAUUUAACGAC